UAGGUGGAUGUCGUAUAGACCAUGUGAGGGUUCCGACAUGCUAGUCGUACAGAUCACUAGAUGUGAUUCCGACUAGUGGGUGACCUUAGUUAUGCGCGCUGAUGAUUGAUGAGAGAAGCACUAGAGCGUAUUUAUACACCUGUCAUCGUACAGACUACUAUAUGUAGUUCCGAGUGACGUGCAGAGUUGGACCUUACAGGUCACCGAGGUGACUCCGGUUGGAUUGGAUGUUGAGCUUUAGAAUCAGCCGUACAGGACCACUUCAGGGUCUCCGGUUGAUUUAUUUUCACCUGAUUUAUAUUGAUGCAUCUAUAUUAUGUUUUUUGGACACUUGGCAUGUCAUAUUUUUCUGAAAAGUGUUAAAGGAUAGUGAUUUGAGAUAUUUGCUUAUAUAUAUGUUUAUAUAUAUGCUAUUUUCUGGGAAAGUAUACAGGUUUUACAGCGAGGGGUUAGAAAUGUUUUAAAUGAAAGAUUUUCGAAAAGCUUUGUUUUGCUGACCCACUCAAUUUUGUUUUGCGCCCCUCCAGGUUCAAGUUAGCAGAGCUUUGGUGGCCACGAGGAACCCAACGGCGUUCUGACAGAAUUCACAAAAGUAGGACUCACCCUCUGGGGUUUCCAUUUUAGUAAUUGUAUUUUAAAAGCUUCCGAACUGUGUAAAUGGUUAUGUCACUCUCACGUGACGGCCAGCACGCCCUCUUUCGUGACGGAGUGUGUCACUUCUUGUACUCAAUGCAUUUCCAGAGGAGAAGAGAAGGAGACCAUCUCUUUAUUUAUUCUGUUCCAAAAUAGUAGCAUAUCUCUGGCUAGUUUCCUUGUACGAAUUGUAGCCCCCUCAUCAAUUUAAGAGAUCUACUGACCUUCAAUUUCACCUACAAAGAAUAAAAGAGUCGACAGUUCAGUAUAAACAUUACAAACGCCAUCUGAUGAAAUCUAAACCUUACAGACGCCAGAAAAGGGUACAAAUUUUAGAGAGACAACGCUGUCGAAAUCUUACAGGAACAAUCCUAGGUGGAGCAAAUCUUUCAAAACCUACCUCAUCCCUCCCUCACUCUCUCUGCAAUUCCCAACCAACCCCAUUCCUUCCUCACUCUAUCUCUUUAAUUCCCACUCUCCCAUAACCCCAUAUUCAGCAUCACCACUCAACCCAUAAUUCUAUCUCUGCAUUCCCACUCCCCCAUGCCCCCAAAUUCAUCAUUUUUUUCAUCUAAAUUACCAUGAAAAAGUGUGAUUAAUAAUCUUAACAACGUGCUCAAAAUCAAUCCCAAAUUAUCUGAAAUGGCAUACACUUCAAAACAAAAAUUUAAUUCUGCUACAGGACCUAAUGGACGGCAGAAAAUGGUAAGGGGAGACGGGUUAGGACAGUGGAAAAUGGACCAGGUUUUUUUUUUAUUCAUUGAGUCCAUCAUUUUGUAAGUGGUCUGCCAACUCCUUAAUUUAAUAAGAUUAGUUUAGGACUUUGUGAGCAUGGGUGCUGCACGUUGAUAACAAAACAAUUUAAAAGUUGAGAAACCUUACCCACUCAUCUAUUGUAUUAAACCUUAAAGAUACCUCCCAAUAUAAACAUAAAUUAAAUAUAACUAAAAAAAUACAGAUAAAACAAACAAUAAUCAGCAAACAAAAACCCUAAACAUUCAGAUUUUUCAGAUUCAGAUGAAACCCAAUUUCCACACAAUAAAUUCAAAAUCCCAUUAAAGAAAAUCAAAUGCUAAAUCCAAAACCUGCAUUCUCAUAAAAAAAAAUAUCACUAAAAAGAAAAACCCAGAAAAGUUAAAAAAAAAUUAAAAAAAAACUUUUAUAAAUAAAGUGAAAUUUGACUCAAACCUACGAACAUAAUUACCCUCUUAACUUUUAAUAAUUACUCUCCAACCCAGACACAGAUUUGGUGGCUGUGAUGUAAAUAUGACAAAAUCAAGGGGGAAAAUUUUGACUGUAGCUAAGCUACAGUCAAAUCCUUCCUCAAUUUUAGAAUAGACGAGAAAAUAUGUUCGCGCGUUGCUGCGGGGACUUGAAUGUAUUAGUCGCAACAGGCAUAAAUAGUUUUCACACAAAGCAAUUAAAAAGACAUAGCACCUAAGAAUCAAUGAAAAAUUGGGACAUCUUACUCAUAUGUGAGAGUCUCAAUCCCUAUUUCAAAUCCCUAUUGGACAAAAGUUCUAAAAUUAAACUAUAUAUCUAAUUUACCAGAAAACUUUGUAAAAUUGAUAGUUUAUCUGAUAUAAGCACUUAAUUUUCCUAUUUAAAAUAGUUUACCCAUUCUUGAUAAGUAAAAUAUAGCUUAACCUUAAUUUAUUAACAGCUUAAUGCAGUUCAAAAGUAUUUCCUGUUGUGGCGAGAAGAAGCUAUAGCCAACGCGCCUUAACUUUUAACUUUUUCCAGAUGCGUAUGUACAGUUUACCUACACCCUCAUACCAUGUGUCUUGAGCUGUUAUAUAUCCUCCACUUGCAGCAUUUUCACUCUUCUGCACGGGAACCUCGACAGCAAACGAUUUCAUCUGUUACUAGUUAAUGGAGAUGUCUUCUGCAUGACUGGAUUACAAAGGGAGAGAAAAAUAGUAUUAGAAAAACACAUUAUACUCAAAAUCAUCACUAAAGAUAUUUUCAAACAAAUCACAAUCCAUUACACAAAGUGGAUCCAACUCCAAGGCAAGACUAAGCAAACACACAAACUGUAUAAAAACCCAAUAAAAGUAGAAGUGUAACAAUAUUGUUGUGCAUGUAGAUUUAUUCUCACAGAUAACGAAUAUAAGAAUUUGAUGAUCUUGUUACUCAAGCUCCAAGGACAAAUGAAAUAAAAUUCAAUGGUUAAAAUUAAUCCUUAUGUAAAUGUAUUCCCCACAUCUAUAUCAUUCAAGUACAACGAAAUUCAGUGGUUUCAACAAAAAAAAAAUCUUGAUUGACUUGAGUUCAGGACAUUCAAGUACAAUGUAAUUGAAAUUUGUGCAAGAGAUUCCAUGAAAACAUAACAUACAAACAAAACUUAAUUGAAAGCAGAAAGAAAAACUUGUACAUGAGAACUGAUAAACACAUUAUACCAUAAAAUGGCUCUACUUGGUUCCUGUAUUUUGACCUGGAAACAAUUUUGGUCCCCUAGAAGUUGCCAAUGGCACCCGAAUUGUAACUGGAAAACAACUUAGACACAUCUAUGAAAAAUUAAAACUCGAGGCACCAAAGUAUGAGAACAAAGAAACCAAAAUUGUUAAAUUUACCCUUUUAUAUCAUACAUACCAUUAAAAAUUUGUUUAGAGAUAAAAAUGGUAGUCAUAGUAAAGAAUCCAACCUAACCAAAGAAAGUGGAUUUCCUCACUUUCUAGUACUAUUAUAUUUACCGUGCUUGAGACUAUUCAAAGAUGAAAAAAGUGGAAAUUUCAUGCAAUAUGAAAACAAAUCCCUGAUAGUUAAUACUGCUUACCGUAGAAGCUAACAAUCUUAUUUCGUACGAAAAACAUGAAGAUCACUAAAAGACACCAGAAUAUAACUUUCAUCAAUGACAUACUUUAUGAGAAUUUUGGAUCCAAAAGUGGCUCCAAUAAAAUAAAUUUAGGCUUGUAUAUACAAUAUAUUAACAUGUGAAAAAAACAUGCAUACCUAAUGAAAUAAUGAGGAGAAUGGCCUUUGACCAUUUGUUGUCUUUGAUACAACUCUUUUCAUCCAUACCUUCAUGUUUGUAUCCUUUGGAACAUUAACAUGAAUAAUUUCUAGGUGAAUUUAUGCAUAUUUCAAUAUCUAGAAAGUAA
rnacentral:lncRNA from 1 species